UACAACGAGGGUAUAUCACAUCCUUUCCUGUUCAAACCGCAUUACUUUUUCAAAUUACUAUAGUCACGGCUUAUGAAUUUAGAGCAGAUUCGAUUUUAGGGUCCCGAAGCACAAAUACUUCUUCUGAGAGGUUUGAGUGCUUGGAAGAUUCAUGAAAUUCUGUACUCUACACCAACGAUGAUUCUGCAAUAAUGGCGGGAGGGUCUAAUAUGGUGAAAACGGGUCAAAAGGACCCGCUAGAGGUAGAAGACGAUCUUCUGGCAUUUUGUCAAAAAUAACUCUAGAGUUUGAGAAGCUUGCGGAAGCCAAUGAAAGCGGAACGAAGCAUCUAUUCAGGAAAUAAGAUGCAAUCGCGUGGAGGCCAAUUGAGACAUGCAAUUUAGUUCUACUUCGUUCACCUCUAUUAUUUUUAGUUUUAUAGUCUAACAAUUCAAGGAAUCUUAACUUCCUAUUGUGCAUU